rnacentral:rRNA from 1 species
UACGUAGGGUGCAAGCGUUAAUCGGAAUUACUGGGCGUAAAGCGUGCGCAGGCGGUUGUGCAAGACCGAUGUGAAAUCCCCGGGCUUAACCUGGGAAUGGCAUUGGUGACUGCACGGCUAGAGUGCGGCAGAGGGGGAUGGAAUUCCGCGUGUAGCAGUGAAAUGCGUAGAUAUGCGGAGGAACACCGAUGGCGAAGGCAAUCCCCUGGGCCUGCACUGACGCUCAUGCACGAAAGCGUGGGGAGCAAACAGG